rnacentral:rRNA from 1 species
UACGUAGGGUGCAAGCGUUGCCCGGAUUUAUUGGGCGUAAAGGGCGCGUAGGCGGCUCGGCACGUCCGUUGUGAAAUCGCCCGGCUCAACUGGGCGGGGUCAGCGGAUACGGUCGAGCUUGAGCAAGCUAGGGGGCAAUGGAAUUCCCGGUGUAGUGGUGGAAUGCGUAGAUAUCGGGAGGAACACCAGUGGCGAAGGCGACUUCCUGGCCUGUUCUUGACGCUGAGGCGCGAAAGCUAGGGGAGCAAACGGG